AAGGACUACGAUGUUGAGUGAGGUAUGUUGCACAGAAUAAGUUGUUUAGAAGCCAGCUUCAUAUUUACAAAUGAGGAGGUAUUGCAAGAUGCCCCAUGGUAAACCGUCAUUUGAAUGUUGUGAUUGUGGUCAUUCUUUGGUGGGAUUAGUAUGCAUUAGA